rnacentral:lncRNA from 1 species
GAGGGGAAAGGAUGCACCGGGAGGAAACAGUCAGGUGAAGAGUUGGAGCCUCCUCCGGGUCUGUGGAAAUGGCCCAGUCCCCAACCGGAUACGGGGAAGCGUGGACGUGGUGGUCAGCGAUCCUGACCACGGGGCAGCACCAGCCAAACUGCAGAUGGCCAUGAGGCCCAGCAAAGCCCAGCACAGGUCCAGGAGACCGGAGCCGGCCUCGGCUUGCACUCGGCCUAGACGGCUCUUCACCCUCAGGAUGAAAGAGACAGGAAGAGGGGGGACGGGAGGAGGGAAGGAUGAAAAGAUGGUCUCGGGGCAGAGUUCUCAAAUGAGCUGUUUCUGAAAAGCUCAUUUUUCAAAUGAGCUCCGCAGGGAUCCUACAAGCCCACUGGUGCUUGGCCACUCAGCUGUGCGAGGCCCGGGGGACGCCUUCAAAACGGCUGACCAACAACCAGUGGACAUCAACAACCAGUGGACAUCAUGCAGAGAGAGAAGGCCCGAGGCCACACCUGAAGUGCCCCGCCCAGUCUCCCAGCGCAGGUGGCACAGGUGGGGGGACCUGGGAGGACCUGCCAGGGCCAGGCCAAGAGCCCCUGCAGGGUGUCACAGGCUCUGAGGGAGUUGAGUCCCAAGGUCCAGGACAUGCCCAGAACUGGAGCCGAUGAGAGCCAGUGGGGGAGGGCAUCCCAGGAAUGUCCCCACCCCAAGGUGCCUUCCUUCUUGCUGGGCUCCGUGGCAGGCGGCCCCUCUCACCAUCAGGCUUCUCUGGUUAUUAUCAGGCCUACAGCAACGGAGUCGGUCAGAAGCAGCAGAGUCACGUCAGUCCAUGCCAAUGGCUUCUCCUGGGUGCAGGAAGGGAGGAUUCCGUUCCCUUGGCCAUUACCUGGCUACCACGGGCGGGUGACAAUGAGAGCGGGUCUCACAACAAUGUGGACACACACACACACACACACACACACACUAACUCUAUACCGUCCCAAAGUGUAUCUCAAUCUUUUAUAUGUUCCUUGCAUGGAGGAUGUACCCAAGGCCAAGGCCACUCUAGUGUGAAGUUCAGCUGAGCUCUGGAGAGAGCCAGGCAACCACGUUCUCCAGGAGGAGGCCGUGCACAGGGACAGCCAGACGCUCCUAACACAUCUUCGGGCUCUUGGACCACUGGACGCCAACCCCAUUCAGGCAGGAGUGACAGCUCCUAUACUGUAUUUCCAGCCAAUCCGCACGUUGUCUGUACCACUCGAUUCACCAAUGAAACUGCACCCUACACCUAUUAUGCAAAUGAACAAGCCCUCUUGGGUGCUGAUUGGAGAGGAGACCUCAAAACCUCAGAGUUGCCCCUGUGCAUUGUGGGCUUCUGGUCAGUCUCUCAAAUGCUGAUCACGCAUCCUGGGGUCUGUGUUCUUCAAUCUCCCGCAAUCUCCUACCAUCCAACAGUGUAGAUUAAAAGUAAUUCACAGGAUAUGUCACACUGUCUCUCUGAAGUCUUCUCAAGUGAGUCACAGGCAAUUUCACGCCAUUUAAAGAAAAGAGCAAGCUCCACAAAGCCCAGGACUUGAAAGUGGCCUUGGAGCUGGGACUGGGGCCUCCACUGGAGCAGAAGCUCAGGCACCGUGUCAUUUAAAGAAAGAACCUUCAGGACUUUGGAGCAUGACACUGAACCGGACUUUGCAUGCUCGUUUGAGUUUUGGAGACUCUUUAGCAGUAGUUGUUGUGCCCAAAAAGAUUACUCAGAAAUUGACUUUGAGCUUAAACAACCGGAGUUGAAGGUAUUGAAAUCGCAACCUAGUUCUCUCUUAAGGUUUCAAGUUCCAUUACAAACCUUUUUCUGUUUAUAUGGAGCCGAUUUAGCAAGCAUGUCCAAGAGCUCUUUGAAGGGUAUUCGGUUCUGGUUACAACAUAAUGAAUUACACACAGCUCAGACA